rnacentral:rRNA from 1 species
CACGUAGGGGACGAGCGUUGUCCGGAUUCAUUGGGCGUAAAGCGCGCGUAGGCGGCUCGGAAAGUCGGGCGUGAAAUGCCGGGGCUCAACCCCGGGACUGCGUCCGAUACUGGCAGUCUCGAGUGCGGGAGAGGUGAGUGGAAUUCCCAGUGUAGAGGUGAAAUUCGUAGAUAUUCGCAAGAACACCAGUGGCGAAGGCGGCUCACUGGCCCGGUAACUGACGCUGAGGUGCGAAAGCGUGGGGAGCAAACAGG